ACUGGAAGGAUUAAGAUUUUUUUAAUAGAAGUAAUUUACAAAUCUGUUUAACUUUCUGGCACCAGUUGAUUUAAAAAUAAAAAAGUUUUCCACCAGAGUACCCCUGGUAUCACAGGGCAAUUCAACCCUACCCUAUAUGUCUUCAUGUGACAAUUGUUUUAAAGGGGUACUCCGAUGGAAAACUUUUUUUUUUCUUCAUAUAAGCUGGCUCCAGAAAGUUAAACAGAUUUGUAAAUGACUUUUAUAUAAAAAAUCUUAAUUCUUCCAGUACUUAUCAGCUGCUGUCUGCUCCAGAGGAAGUUGUGUAGUUCUUUCCAGUCUGACCACAGUGCUCUCUGCUGACACCUCUGUCCGUGUCAGGAGCUGACCAGGGCAAUUGCAAAAACCUCUCCUGUUCCGGACAGUUCCUGACCCGGACAGAGGUGGCAGCAGAGAGUACCGGAGUAUCCCUUUUAAGCCAUGUAAGUAUUUGGGUAUACUGUUACAUUACUAGAAGAGAAGAGCCACUGCCAUUCCCCUGCUGUAGAAAGUGGUGUAAAACCUGCAAGAGUUUUUAAAGGAAAAAAAAAAUACAAAACACUUUCAUUUCCAUUCCAAGUCUAUUUUGGGGGGCAAGUACAGCGGACCCUCUUUUGUUUCCUAUCUGAAAUAACCCCUGAGGAGGAGUCUCUCAUUUGGCCCCCUACAGGCUAUUGUAACAUACUGCACCUCAAUAGAAUUUCUGUCAAUUAUUAUUGUCUUGUCAUUGAAUAGCGCACUGGUUGGAAAACAUUGGAAUAGUCAUUGCUUAGAGAUAAUUUCAGAAUCCAUAAGGAUCUAAUUAUUUAAAAAUUAACUUUUUUAGGCAUUGUUUAGGAGAUGUCGUUACUAUUUAACAAAACUAAAGGGAUUGUAAACCCAUGCUACACAAUAAAUACUUUUUUUUAUUUCACGUGACUUGUAUUACCUACUCAAACGUACUGCUAGGACUUGGUUGAAAGCAUGGUUAGUCACUAAGGGGCGGUUAAAAAUGGACAUAUUUAGCCUUUUUUGCCGAAUCUGGAAUGCAGAAUUUCUGCAGCGGAAAUUCCGCCAUGUGAAUGGGACAGCGAAAAAUUCCAUUCGUGUAGCGGUAUUGCCGAGCUGAAUUUUUCCUCCGUAUUCCGCAUGGAUAUUUUGCCGUGUGAACAUACCCUAAUAGGAAAUGUGUAGGCAAAUGGCUUCUUGCAGGAAAGGGCCAUAUGAAUGAUCACAUGGCUCUCUGCAUGUUUAUUUUUUUUUAAUUAAAGAAAAAAAAAUUCUUAUUCAAAAUACAAAAAAACAAAAACAAAUCAUCACAUCCAACUUUGUCAAUAGAAGAAAACCCCUUACCUCCCCACCCCAGUCCUACAUACCGUGUGGUUCUUGAGCAUUGUGUAGGCUCUGUAAAUAAGCGCUGAUCUACAAGCUCGGCGCCUAUUUACGGCGAGCAUACGGCGGUCUAAUAGGGCCCAAAGGUAUGAGUAUCUAUAUACAAAAAUGUAUACUGUAAUACAGUGGUCCCUCAAGUUACAAUAUGAAUUUGUUUCAGGACGACCAUUGUAUGUUGAGACCAUAACUCUAUGGAAACCUGGUAAUUGGUUCUGAAGCGCCAAAAUGUCAUCCAAAAAUAGGAAAAAGUGAGGAUUAAAGAAAAAUAAGUAGAUAACUGAUAUGGAUAAAACAUAUCCUUACAUAUAAAAGUAAGAAAAAUCUGCUGGGAGCUGUAAUCACUGUAUAUGUAGAGGACAGGAGCUUCUUCAGGGUCCUGUACAGUACACAGUGUCCUAAAAAAGUAAUGGAGCCGCCCUCACCUGGUGUCCAAAGGAGCAGCUAACCCUGGUAAAGGUUAAGAGUACAGAACAGGUAAUACCUCCCUGUACUGUAGGGGGCGCUACCAGACACCAGUCAGGGCAUUCACUUCAGUAAUACUGGUAAAGAGUAGUACAGAACAUGUAAUACCUCCCUGUACUGUAGGGGGCGCUACCAGACACCAGUCAGUGCAUGCACUUCAGUAAUACAGGUAAAGAGUAGUACAGAACAUGUAAUACCUCCCUGUAUUGUAGGGGGCGCUACCAGACACCAGUCAUUGCAUACACUUCAGUAAUACAGGUAAAGAGUACAGGACAUGUAAUACCUCCCUGUACUGUAGGGGGCGCUACCAGACACCAGUCAGUGCAUACACUUCAGUAAUACAGGUAAAGAGUACAGAACAUGUAAUACCUCCCUGUACUGUAGGGGGCGCUACCAGACACCAGUCAGUACAUGCACUUCAGUAAUACAGGUAAAGAGUAGUACAGAACAUGUAAUACCUCCCUGUACUGUAGGGGGCGCUACCAGAUACCAGUCAGUGCAUACACCAGUAAUACAGGGGUUUUACCAGUGAAUGCCCAUUCAGAUUGGUCAGAUCUUCCGGCCAUCAACAUUUUUUGUAGAUCUGGACUGUCUGUAGUAUUGGAUGAUGAGUCUGGUUUCAACUUGCAAGGUCCAGAAAAGACCAUUGUGUGUUCAGAAUAUUGAAUGUUGAGGCCGCUGUAUGCCCACUGGGCACUGUUGUAUGUGAAAAGUGCGUCGGACAAAGUGGAGAGCAGUUGCAAAGAGUGCAAAUCUUCGACCAUUCAUUUCAAUUAGCCAUGUAAUGCCCUUUUUCUACUGGGGUGGCGCUGCAACAUAUGCUCUAAAAGCUUGCGCAUCUAGUUGCCAAAUAAAGAUAUAAUUCCUAGUAUACUUGGCCUUUUUUUUUUUUUUUUUGCCACGUAGGUAUCACAUGGAAGCAUGCCACGAUUUUUGUUUUGUUUUACAUGACCAAAUCUAUCACGUGGCAUAUCGUGGAGGCCGUCUCUGGCUUCACAUAUAGACAUUAUAAGGCUGUACAAGGAUACUGGGUUGUAACAUGGACUUAAAAGGACUCUGUGAUAUACGUAGUAUAUAUAUAUAUAUAUAUAUAUAUAUAUAUAUAUAUAUAUAUACACACACAC